rnacentral:rRNA from 1 species
GACGAACGCUGGCGGCGUGCUUAACACAUGCAAGUCGAACGGUGAUCCCAGCUUGCUGGGUGAUCAGUGGCGAACGGGUGAGUAACACGUGAGCAACCUGCCCUCGACUCUGGGAUAGCCUCGGGAAACCGGGAUUAAUACCGGAUAUGACAUUCCUUCGCAUGGAGGGGUGUGGAAAGUUUUUCGGUCGGGGAUGGGCUCGCGGCCUAUCAGCUUGUUGGUGGGGUGAUGGCCUACCAAGGCGACGACGGGUAGCCGGCCUGAGAGGGUGACCGGCCACACUGGGACUGAGACACGGCCCAGACUCCUACGGGAGGCAGCAGUGGGGAAUAUUGCGCAAUGGGCGAAAGCCUGACGCAGCGACGCCGCGUGAGGGAUGAAGGCCUUCGGGUUGUAAACCUCUUUCAGCAGGGAAGAAGCGCAAGUGACGGUACCUGCAGAAGAAGCACCGGCUAACUACGUGCCAGCAGCCGCCGUAACAC